rnacentral:rRNA from 1 species
GACGAACGCUGGCGGCGUGCUUAACACAUGCAAGUCGAACGGAAAGGCCUUGCUUUUGUGGGGUGCUAGAGUGGCGAACGGGUGUGACACACGUGAGUACUCUGCCCUUGACUUUGGGAUAACUUCAGGAAACUGGGGAUAAUACCGGAUAGGAGUACCAGCUGCAUGGAGGGGGAUGGAAAGUUGCGGCGGUUGGGGAUGGACUCGCGGCUUAGCUGCUUGGUGGUGGGGUGGUGGCCUAACAAGGCUUUGAAGGGUAGCCGGCCUGAGAGGGUGACUGGCUACAUUGGAACGGAGAUGCGGCCCGGACUCGUACGGUAGGCAGCGGUGGAGAGGAGUGCACAACGGGCUGAGGCCAGAUGCAGCGACGCCGCGUGCGGUAAGACGUCCUGCGGGUUGUAAACCGCAUUCGCCUGUUACGAAGCGUGAAUGACGGUAAUUGGUAAAGAAGCAACGGCUAACUACGUG